GAGUUCCGCUGCUUGCGCAGAUACAGUUGUUUGUCUCUAGACUACGCUGCGCUUCUCCGACUUUGGUAUGCGUGGGGGUCCGGAAGGCACAGGCUAAGUGAAAACAGUCACUUAAUGGGAGCAGCAGCGAGAGUCCACAGAACGCUAGACUACGGUGCAGGGGUCAGAUGGUUCUGACGUAGGUGUCAGGACGGCAGCACGGCCUUGAACUUGGGUCUGGCCAACUUCAGAGCUGGCGUUUUGGCCAGAGACCUGCUGCACCUAUCUACGCGAGUUUAUCUUAUUUUUAAAAGACAGGGUCUCUGUGUAGCCCUGGCUAUCCUGUAACUCACUAUGUGGAACAGGCUGCCCUCGAAUUCACAGAAACCCUGUGUCUUUAGUGCUGGGAUUAAAGUCGUCUGUCACUACACCUGGCUCUAAUGUGUGUGUAUGUGGUACUGGGGAUAUAACCCUAGGUUUCACAUAUGCCGGGCAGUCAGUGUACUAAGUAGCUUUAUUACCAGCACUUAACAAGUUCCAAGUUAACAUUUUCAAGCUGUGUAAAGUGCAAAAGUGUGUCAUCUUGUCUCCCAGUCCCAUCUGGGGUGCGUUUAAAAAUAAAAUCUUGUCGAGGGUGAAGGCACAGAUCUGAAAUUCUAGCACUUAAGAGAUGGAUGGAUGACCAAGGCAGGAUAGGAUGACUAAGGGCGAUAAUCUUUAACACUCCGAUUCCGGCAGGAUCAUUAGGAGUUUUACGCCAGUUUCAGCUGUGUGAGACCCUGCCCUAAAGUUACAAAUUCUUUGGUAGUUCUACCCCUCCUGCUUCUAACUGCAAAUAGGUGUCGUUGGGGUUCAGCUGGUUUGGGAUUGCUGUAGUGUCCUGUUUAGGUGGCACGAGGCCGGGCUGCUUCUGCCUUCUCUAACAACUGCAUCUACCAGGUGCAUCCUUCACAUUUUGGGGGACACAAAAUUUUCAAUAAAGGUGGACAAGAUGUGUU
rnacentral:lncRNA from 1 species